rnacentral:pre_miRNA from 1 species
UAGGUACUCCCUCCGUUCCAAAUUACUUGUCGCAGAAAUGGAUGUAUCUAGAACUAAAAUACAUCUAGAUACAUCCAUAUCUGCGACAAGUAAUUCGGAACAGAGGGAGUAGUAA